rnacentral:rRNA from 1 species
ACUGUAUGUCUGGAAGUUAUUGGGAGGUUAGUGGAAUUUCAGGUGGAGCGGUGAAAUGUGUUGAUAUCUGAAAGAACGCCGAAAGCGAAAGCAGCUAACUACAAUAAACUUGACGGUAAGGGACGAAAGCUUGGGGAGCGAACGGGAUUAGAUACCCCGGUAGUCCAAGCCGUAAAUGAUGCAUGCUAGAUGUUUUGGACCCUCGUGGUCUGGAGUGUCGUAAUCUAACGAGUUAAGCAUGCCGCCUGGGUAGUAUAUUCGCAAGAAUGAAACUCAAAGGGAUAGGCGGGGGAACACACAAGCAGUGGAUUGUCUAGAUUAAUUGGAUAAUAAGCCAAGAAUCUUACCUAGAUUUGACAUGUACUAUGUCCUAUGUGAAAGCAUAGUAGUCCGAGCAAUCGGACAUGGUAUACAGGUGGUGCAUGGUCGUCGUCAGCUCGUGCCGCAAGGUGUCUAGUUAAGUCUGGAAACGAGCGCAACCCUCAUCUUUAGUUAGAAUGUCUAAAGAGACUGCUCGGGUAACCGAGAGGAAGGAGAGGAUGACGUCAGAUCCUCAUGCCCCUUACAUCUAGGGCUUCAUAGACAAUACAAUGGGUGAUACAACGAGAAGCUAAGCCGCGAGGUGGAGCAAACCUCUAAAAUCAUUCCAAGUUCGGAUUGUAGUCUGGAACUCGACUACA